AUUAGUUGCAAAGUGGUCUGAUCCAAAGAACAUGGAAAUAAGUGAAAAGAACAAGCAGAACCGCAGUCAAGUCAAGUUUCAUCAGGCUACGGGUUCUCGCUGCUAUGUGGCACACUUACAUGCAUAUAAGCAGAAGAGAAACCGAGAAGAACCCAGCUUAGAUCAGACUGAAGAACUAGAUGCGGUGGACGCCUUCAAGACCUGUCAUACC